GAUGAACGCUGGCGGCGUGCCUAAUACAUGCAAGUCGAGCGAACAAAUUAGUAUCUUGCUCCUUUGACGUUAGCGGCGGACGGAUGAGUUGACCGUUGAUUACCUACCUAUUAGCCUGCGAUAACUUCGGGAAACCGAAGCUGAUACCGGAUAACAUAUUGAACAGCCUCGUUCAAUCGUGAGGUCCGGCUUUGCUGUCACUUAUAGAUUGAUCCGCACCGUAUUAGCUAUUUCGUAAUGUAACGGCUUCCCCAUGCAACGAUACGUAGCCGACCUGAGAGGGUGAUCGGCCACACGGGAAGUGAGAGACGGCCCAGACUUCUACGGGAGGAAGCAGUAGGGAAUCUUACGGAAGGGGGGAAAGGCGGAUGGAGCAACGCCGCGUGAGUGAUGAAGGUCCUAGGAUCGGAAAACGCUGUUAUCAGGGAAGAACAAAUGUGUAAGUAACAGUGAACAUCUUGACGGUACCUGAUCAGAAAGCCACGGCUAACUACGUG
rnacentral:rRNA from 1 species